CUUCAGGUAGAGGGGGUCCUUCAGGUAGAGGGGGUCCUUCAGGUAGAGGGGGUCCUUCAGGUGGAUGGGGUCCUUCAGGUAGAGGGGGUCCUUCAGGUGGAUGGGGUCCUCAGGUGGAUGGGGUCCAUCAGGCAGGAGACACGUUGAGACAGACCACUGCUCUCUGGUCUUCAUUUGACACCCUGUAAUCACGUCCCUCCACCACCACAUUAAGAACAUUGAAUCAUCUGAGUUCUGUCUCGCUCUCAUCCAAAACACUUGGCCACUCUGUGCUGCACUCCAGCAUUUGCAUAUCACAUCAAUAUCAUGCGACUUUUAUAACCAGGGACACACACAGACACACACACACACACACACACACACACACACACACACACACACACACACACACACACACACACACACACACACACACACACACACACACAUACACA